rnacentral:rRNA from 1 species
ACGUAAGAAUUUGCCUUUAGGAGGGGGAUAACAACUGGAAACGGUUGCUAAUACCCCAUAUGCUUUCGAGUGAAACGGUUUUUCCGCCUAAAGAGAAGCUUGCGGCUGAUUAGCUUGUUGGUAAGGUAAUGGCUUACCAAGGCGACGAUCAGUAUCUGGUUUGAGAGGACGAUCAGACACACUGGAACUGAGACACGGUCCAGACUCCUACGGGAGGCAGCAGUGGGGAAUUUUCCGCAAUGGGCGAAAGCCUGACGGAGCAAUACCGCGUGAGGGAUGACGGCCUAUGGGUUGUAAACCUCUUUUUUCAGGGAGGAAUCAAUGACGUGUACCUGAAGAAUAAGCAUCGGCUAACUCCGUGCCAGCAGCCGCGGUAAGACGGAGGAUGCAAGUGUUAUCCGGAAUCACUGGGCGUAAAGCGUCUGUAGGUGGUUUAAUAAGUCAACUGUUAAAUCUUGAGGCUUAACCUCGAAAUCGCAGUCGAAACUAUUAGACUAGAGUAUAGUAGGGGUAAAGGGAAUUUCCAGUGGAGCGGUGAAAUGCGUAGAUAUUGGAAAGAACACCAAUGGCGAAGGCACUUUACUGGGCUAUUACUAACACUGAGAGACGAAAGCUAGGGUAGCAAAUGGGAUUAGAUACCCUGGUAGUCC